rnacentral:ncRNA from 2 species
UACUAUCUUCAGGGCAGGGUGAAAAUCCCUACCGGCGGUAUGUAUACCUCUUAUAUAAGUAACUUAAUUAUAGGUAAACGAGCCCGCAAGCGCUUUAAAAAUUCUUUUAAAGGUCAGCAGACUUGGUGAGAUGCCAAGGCCGACGGUUAAAGUCCGGAUGAAAGAAGAGGUUU